GAACGCUGGCGGUAUGCCUAACACAUGCAAGUCGAACGAGCUCUUCGGAGCUAGUGGCGGACGGGUGAGUAACACGUGAGGAUCUGCCUCAAGGUCGGGGACAACAGUUGGAAACGACUGCUAAUACUCGAUAUGCCGGAAGGUAAAAGAUUUAUUGCCUGGAGAGGAUCUCGCGUCCGAUUAGCUAGUUGGUGGGGUAAAAGCCUACCAAGGCGACGAUCGGUAGCUGGUCUGAGAGGAUGAGCAGCCACACUGGGACUGAGACACGGCCCAGACUCCUACGGGAGGCAGCAGUGGGGAAUUUUCCGCAAUGGGCGCAAGCCUGACGGAGCAAUACCGCGUGGGGGAGGAAGGCUUUUGGGUUGUAAACCUCUUUUAUCAGGGAAGAAAAUUUGACGGUACCUGAAGAAAAAGCAUCGGCUAACUCCGUGCCAGCAGCCCGCGGUAAUACGGAGGAUGCAAGCGUUAUCCGGAAUCAUUGGGCGUAAAGGGUCCCGCAGGUGGCGACUCAAGUCUGCUGUUAAAGACCGGGCUUAACUCCGGAAAGGUAGUAGAAACUGAGAAGCUAGAGUACGGUAGGGGUAGA
rnacentral:rRNA from 1 species